GAUGAACGCUGGCGGCGUGCUUAACACAUGCAAGUCGAGCGAGAAGUUUUGAAAAGUUUCUUCGGAUCAAAUUUAAAAUGGAAAGCGGAGGACGGGUGAGUAACGCGUAGGCAACCUGCCCCAUACAGAGGAAUAGCAUUUGGAAACGAAUAUUACUACCUUAUGAAACUUAACUAGUGCAUGCUAGGUAGGUCGAAGAUUUAUUGGCAUGGGAUGGGCCUGCGUCUGAUUAGCUAGUUGGUGAGGUGAUGGCUCACCAAGCCGACGAUCAGUAGCCGACGUGAGUGGGCGAACGGCCACGGUGGAAGUGACGCACCGUCCAAACACCUGCGGGAGGAGGCAGUGAUGAAUAAUGCACAACGGGAGAAAGACUGAGGAAGCAACGGCGCGUGAUCGAUGAAUGCCGGUGGGAAGCAAAGUUCGGUUCUAGCGGAGGAAAACUGACAGUAACGGAUAAGAAAGCCCCGGCUAACUCCGUG
rnacentral:rRNA from 1 species